GCUGUUUAGCGCCAGAUUGUAUAUUUUAUUUUUGGCAUAUUAAACAUACGGAAAUUGCAAAACAUAAACAAAUUAUUUUUAGAAAACCAAACAAGCAAUAUUUGCAUUUCAUAUACAUACAUAUCAUUGUAUAUGCGAGAGCUGAAGCUGAAAGGAGAGUACCCAGAGGCGACAUAGAUUGUUGGCCGUGAGCUACGACAACAUACCCAGGAGAAGGCUCUACUAUCGCUUGCCAAUUACAAAUAGCCAUAGCAUUAGUCAAAUGUGUGCUGCCGCAGCAUUUGAAGCAGCUGUUGCACACGCAUUAGUGUUUUGUCUUGCCAGCAAAUUUCGUUACAAUAGAAUUUAAUUUAAUUGAAAUCAAGUGCCAUAAUUAAUGAGAUAUUUCAAAAUCAAAACAAAACGAAAACGUCGACGCAGACAACGGUGAGUAGGGCCCAAAGCAAUACGGCGCUCACCAACAAGUCAUCUGUGGCCAAUAGAGCGCACCAAACACGUUUGUAUAUUCGCUGGGCCGCACAGAAGUGUGCCGCGCGCUAACGCACUUAGAUGUUCUCAGAGGUACAUAGAAUACUACCUGGAAGUGCAUAUACUUAGAGCCAGAAAAGUAUAUACGGACAUUUAAGGGCCUAUUUGGAAUGAUAUUCUGAGUGGACAAAACCCCGAAAGUCUAUCCAUACUGUGUAUGUUGAGUAAUUGCAAGCCGUUCGAUUUUUAUAAUUCUCAUUGUGACCACAUUCCCAGUUGGUGUACGUCUGUAAUUGAUGAAAGUGGGCAAAUAUGAGGUGAAAACGCGUGUGUUAAAACAUUUUUUUUAAAUAUGUAUAUGUAUGUAUGUACAAGCCAUUUACAUAAAUACAUGCAUUCAUUCAAGAUUACAAUUUUAAAAUCGUCUAAGAAAGUUAAAAAAUACUGCAUUCUAAGGCACAGUAACGAAAAACGCACAAGAGCCAACAAGUUAUAUUAAAACAUUGAU